GACCUUAACCUGCUAAAUAGCCAGGCCCGCUUUGGCGGGUCGCCGGCUUCUUAGAGGGACUAUCGGCUCAAGCCGAUGGAAGUUUGAGGCAAUAACAGGUCUGUGAUGCCCUUAGAUGUUCUGGACCGCACGCGCGCUACACUGACAGAGCCAACGAGUUCAUUUCCUUAGCCGAAAGGUUUGGGUAAUCUUGUUAAACUCUGUCGUGCUGGGGAUAGAGCAUUGCAAUUAUUGCUCUUCAACGAGGAAUGCCUAGUAAGCGCAUGUCAUCAGCAUGCGUUGAUUACGUCCCUGCCCUUUGUACACACCGCCCGUCGCUACUACCGAUUGAAUGGCUAAGGGCAGC
rnacentral:rRNA from 1 species